AAGCUAUGCCAGUUGUACCUAAGACAAUGUGUUAUUGAAGUGUUUUGCUCGACAUCCACAGACAAAUCCAGGAAGUCCUCAUCUUUACUGCUUACCUGUAAGAGACAAGGACAAACAAUUCUGGAUGUCCGCCACGGUGUUCAGCAGGUAAUUGAGGAACUCGUGAGCAUCCUGCUGCAUGUAAUUGUCAAACAGGUCUAUAGGGUGAGAGGAGAGAAAGACGGGAGAUGAACUUUUUGGGCGGGAUGACCCCCACCUUCUUUUUUUGGGUUGCAAUGCUGUGGAAAAGGUCAGCCA